UGCGGGAGGGAGGUAAGGUAUCUUACAAGCCUCAUAAGCUUGCCAAAACGAGUUCGAUUCUCGUUCCCGCAACCA
rnacentral:tRNA from 1 species